rnacentral:misc_RNA from 1 species
AGCUGUUCCCCUCUGGAGGUUUUAGACCUUCACACUUAAAGGCCCCAAGUUUACUUGUGGGCCUCUUUUUUUGCCAUU